rnacentral:rRNA from 1 species
UGGGGAAUAUUGGACAAUGGGCGAAAGCCUGAUCCAGCCAUGCCGCGUGAGUGACGAAGGCCUUAGGGUUGUAAAACUCUUUCGUCGGGGACGAUAAUGACGGUACCCGAAGAAGAAGCUCCGGCUAACUUCGUGCCAGCAGCCGCGGUAAUACGAAGGGAGCUAGCGUUGUUCGGAAUCACUGGGCGUAAAGCGCACGUAGGCGGAUAGUUAAGUCAGGGGUGAAAUCCCGAGGCUCAACCUCGGAACUGCCUUCAAAACUGGCGACCUGGACCCAAGUAGAGGCAAGUGGAAUUGCGAGUGUAGAGGUGAAAUUCGUAGAUAUUCGCAGGAACACCAGUGGCGAAGGCGACUUGCUGGACUUGUGGUGACGCUGAGACGCGAAAGCGUGGGGAGCAAACAGGAUUAGAUACCCAAGUAGUCCCUGAGCGGGCUGGCAAGGCGCAU